rnacentral:rRNA from 1 species
AGUGAACGCUGGCGGUAGGCCUAACACAUGCAAGUCGAACGGCAGCACAGUAAGAGCUUGCUCUUACGGGUGGCGAGUGGCGGACGGGUGAGGAAUACAUCGGAAUCUACUUUUUCGUGGGGGAUAACGUAGGGAAACUUACGCUAAUACCGCAUAUGACCUACGGGUGAAAGCAGUGGAUCUUCGGACCUUGCGCGAUUGAAUUAGCCGAUGUCGGAUUAGCUAGUUGGCGGGGUAAAGGCCCACCAAGGCGACGAUCCGUAGCUGGUCUGAGAGGAUGGUCGGCCGCAGUGGAGCUGAGGCACGGUCCAGACGCCGACGAGAGGCAGCAGACGGGAAGCGUCCGCAGUGGGCGCGAGCCUGACGGAGCAACGCCUCGUAAGUGAUGAAGGUCUUCUGAUCGUAAAACUCUUUUAUUAGGGAAGAACAAAUGUGUAAUGAAAUGUGCACGUCUGGACGGUACCUAAUCAGAAAGCCACGGCUAACUACGUG